AGAGUUUGAUCAUGGCUCAGAUUGAACGCUGGCGGAAUGCUUUACACAUGCAAGUCGAACGGCAGCACGGGGGCAACCCUGGUGGCGAGCGGCGAACGGGUGAGUAACACAUCGGAACGUACCCUGUCGUGGGGGAUAACGAGUCGAAAGAUUCGCUAAUACCGCAUACGACCCGAGGGUGAAAGCGGGGGAUCGCAAGACCUCGCGCGACUGGAGCGGCCGAUGGCGGAUUAGCUAGUUGGUGGGGUAACGGCCCACCAAGGCGACGACGGGUAGCCGGCCUGAGAGGGCGACCGGCCACACUGGAACUGAGACACGGUCCGGACUCCUACGGGAGGCAGCAGUGGGGAAUAUUGCGCAAUGGGCGAAAGCCUGACGCAGCCAUACCGCGUGUGUGAAGAAGGCCUUCGGGUUGUAAAGCACUUUCAGUGGGGAGGAAAAGCUGGCGGCUAAUAUCCGCCGGCCGUGACGCUACCCACAGAAGAAGCACCGGCUAAUUCCGUG
rnacentral:rRNA from 1 species